CCUACGGGAGUCUGCAGUGGGGAAUAUUGGACAAUGGGGGGAACCCUGAUCCAGCCAUGCCGCGUGUGUGAAGAAGGCCCUCGGGUUGUAAAGCACUUUCAGUGAGGAAGAACGCCUGGUGGUUAAUACCCAUCAGGAAAGACAUCACUCACAGAAGAAGCACCGGCUAACUCCGUGCCAGCAGCCGCGGUAAUACGGAGGGUGCGAGCGUUAAUCGGAAUUACUGGGCGUAAAGCGCGCGUAGGUGGCUUGAUAAGCCGGUUGUGAAAGCCCCGGGCUCAACCUGGGAACGGCAUCCGGAACUGUCAAGCUAGAGUGCAGGAGAGGAAGGUAGAAUUCCCGGUGUAGCGGUGAAAUGCGUAGAGAUCGGGAGGAAUACCAGUGGCGAAGGCGGCCUUCUGGACUGACACUGACACUGAGGUGCGAAAGCGUGGGUAGCAAACAGGAUUAGAUACCCCAGUAGUC
rnacentral:rRNA from 1 species